AUUGAACGCUGGCGGCAUGCUUUACACAUGCAAGUCGAACGGUAACAGGCCUUCGGGUGCUGACGAGUGGCGAACGGGUGAGUAAUGCAUCGGAACGUACCCAGAGGUGGGGGAUAACGCAGCGAAAGCUGUGCUAAUACCGCAUGUGAUCUGAGGAUGAAAGCGGGGGACCGAGCAGCAAUGUUUGGCCUCGCGCCUUUGGAGCGGCCGAUGUCUGAUUAGCUAGUUGGUGGGUAAAGGCCUACCAAGGCGACGAUCCGUAGCUGGUCUGAGAGGACGACCAGCCACACUGGGACUGAGACACGGCCCAGACUCCUACGGGAGGCAGCAGUGGGGAAUUUUGGACAAUGGGCGCAAGCCUGAUCCAGCAAUGCCGCGUGCGGGAAGAAGGCCUUCGGGUUGUAAACCGCUUUUGGCAGGAACGAAACGGUGUCCGCUAAUACCGGGCGCUAAUGACGGUACCUGCAGAAUAAGCACCGGCUAACUACGUG
rnacentral:rRNA from 1 species